UACGGAGGGGGCUAGCGUUGUUCGGAAUUACUGGGCGUAAAGCGCGCGUAGGCGGACCUGCAAGUCGGGGGUGAAAGCCCGAGGCUCAACCUCGGAAACUGCCUUCGAUACUGCGGGUCUCGAGUCCGGGAGAGGUGAGUGGAAUUCCUAGUGUAGAGGUGAAAUUCGUAGAUAUUAGGAAGAGCACCAGUGGCGAAGGCGGCUCACUGGCCCGGUACUGACGCUGAGGCGCGAAAGCGUGGGGAGCAAACAGG
rnacentral:rRNA from 1 species